rnacentral:rRNA from 1 species
GAUUAUUUGUUUAACUGUGGCAAAAGGAAGUUUGUGUUUUAUUAGCUGCAUAAAGUUAGUUUAUUUUUAUCUUAUCUCAAUAUUAUUUAUUUUGUUUAGCAGUUAACAUUUUGUUAAAACGAGAGUUUUAGAAGAAUAAGACGUUUAAAGGGGAUAGGGCACAGUGCCAGCAUCUGCGGUUAAUCUGUUUUCUUUGCUUUUAUCUAGAUUUUAUGUGUUUAUUUAUCGUUAAAAGUAGGUUAAAUUUUUUUAUUUAAAUUUUAAAUAUUCAUUUUUUUAUAAAGUUUAUGUUUGUGACAGGGAUUAGAUACCCCAUUAAUGUAUUUUGUAAUAUUGUCUUAGUUUAGUAACUAAAAUGGUUUGGCAGUGAGUGAUUCUUUUUAGGGGAAGGUGUGGUGUAAAGGAUGUUCCGCCUAAUAAUUUACUUUUAUUAUGUUGGUGUAUAUCUGGUUGAAUAUUAUUGUUUAAUGAUAUGUGUAAUUUGUGUAAAGUUAGUUAAGCCAAGUCUAUGUGCUGCUUAUAAAAGUAUUCAUGCGUUACUUUGAUAAAGUUUUAGUUGUAAACACUAUUAUAUAUUUAGGACUUAAUAGUAAUGUCAAAUUAGUUUGUUGAUGUGAAUUAAGUUUAACUCAUGUACACACCGCCCGUCACCCUCGAUUAUUAUUGAGGUAAGUCGUAACAAGGUAACUUUAAAUGAAUUUGAAGUUGGUUACUAGAAUAUUUUUUA